rnacentral:pre_miRNA from 1 species
AUGUCAGUCAUCUGGGGAAUCUUGUUAAAUUGUAGGUUCUGAUUUAGUAGGUCUGGGGUGGAGCCAGAGAUUUCUGCAUUUUUAACAAGUUUCCUGUGAUGUUGCU